UACGUAGGGGGCAAGCGUUGUCCGGAAUCAUUGGGCGUAAAGCGCGUGUAGGCGGCUCGGUAAGUCCGCUCUGAAAGCCCGGGGCUCAACCCCGGGAGGCGGGUGGAUACUGCUGAGCUCGAGUCCGGAAGAGGAGUGUGGAAUUCCUGGUGUAGCGGUGAAAUGCGCAGAUAUCAGGAGGAACACCAAUGGCGAAGGCAGCACUCUGGGACGGUACUGACGCCGAGGAGCGAAAGCGUGGGGAGCGAACAGG
rnacentral:rRNA from 1 species